rnacentral:ncRNA from 2 species
AUAUAAAUAUAAGCGCCAGACCAUUACAGUGGUUGACGAGGAUUGAGGUUAUCGAAAAUUCGGCGGAUGCCUCAAGGGUUUCACAAUCCAAGAAUACUCUAAAAAAUAGAAGUAAUUCUAUAACAACAGAGUAUUCACGUGAUAUC